rnacentral:lncRNA from 1 species
AAAUUGUAAUAUUUAAUAUUAAAAUAGACCAUUUUAGUUGUAAUAAAAUGUCGCAUCUAAAUAAUCUAUCUAACCAAAUUAUAAUCUAUUCACAUUUCUUUCCCGGUAGUUAUGCUUUGCACUUCUAAAUCUUAAUUAUUGGUAUUCAAGUACUUUUUUUUUUUUUUGAGAGAUAGGUAGCACGCUACCCGCUUCGUUUAUUUCAUUUAGAAAUAAACUUAGCUGAAAAUGUGAAUCAACCAGGAUUCGAACUUGGCAGCUCGGGUACCAACCACUAAGCCCUUUGCCACUUGCUCUAGAGACAGUCGGUGUAUUCAAGUACAUAUUAAAACACAAAACUUUU